rnacentral:rRNA from 1 species
AUUGAACGCUGGCGGCAGGCCUAACGCAUGCAAGUCGAGCGGUAGAGAGGUGCUUGCAUCUCUUGAGAGCGGCGGACGGGUGAGUAAUGCCUAGGAAUCUGCCUAGUGGUGGGGGAUAACGUUCGGGAACGGACGCUAAUACCGCAUACGUCCUACGGGAGAAAGCGGGGGAUCUUCGGACCUCGCGCCAUUAGAUGAGCCUAGGUCGGAUUAGCUAGUUGGUGAGGUAAUGGCUCACCAAGGCGACGAUCCGUAACUGGUCUGAGAGGAUGAUCAGUCANACUGGAACUGAGACACGGUCCAGACU